AACAACAGAAAUGUUUUGGAAAUUAUAUCAUGUAGAAAUAUUAAUAUUUGUUGGAAAUUUCAAGUUUCAUUUACGAAUUAUUACAAAAACAAUUAACCUAUCAGAUUCAACCAAAACCCAUUAUAUUGCAUUGUUACUACAAAACUAGGUACUUACCUAAGAAUUAAUUAUGUAAGUAGUAAUUAAUUAUAAUAAUAUAAGAAACAUAAAAAUAAAAACCAAUAAUAUGGAAAUUGGCAGUAUAUAUCACCAUAAUAGAAGUUUUAAACUUAUAUUUUAGAAAUGAACGUCAAAAUUAUCAGUCGUGGUGAUGAAAAUGUCAAGUUUAUUAUAUUUAUGCAUUUUCUCCAGUCGUUUUUAGCUUUGCUAUUGUUAGAUUUUAGUAUCUUUAUAAUAAUUUAUAUAAUUCAUCUGUGCACCUGUUCUGAUCAUGUAUAACAUCUAAAUUCUAAACGACUUGACCGUUUUAAAUAAAAUGUAUAUCAAUAGAUUCCUAGAUACUCAGGGAUAUAGUGUACACACCUUAUUUUUUCAAUCUCUAUGGUAGGUUCUUAUAAAGUAGUUCACACGUGCAUUUAAUUUUGGCUCACUCAAAUCUAAUAUUUUUUCUUAAUUUAAAUGGUUGCCAUUGGUUACAGUUAAUAAAAUUAUUAUUAUGAUUGGACCACAGAUAUAUAAUAUAAUAACUAGAUACCCGACUCCAUAUUCAUCAACAUUAUUGAAUUAUAACGCCCAACGCCAUUUGUCACUUGGGCAAUGUUUAAAAAUUCUAAUUCUUUUGACUCGCAACGGGCGUGUUUGAUAUGAAAUGUUGUUGUUUAUUAUCAUAUUACCUUCGUAACGAUUAAUAAACAUUGCCCAAGUUGUAAAUGUCUGCCAGCGUUAUUGGUAAGAAGAAGUCGGGUAUCUAGUUAUUAUAUAUGUCUGUGGAUUGGACAUAUUUUUCUGUCUUGUAUUAUAUUUUAUUAUUAAUUAUUUGACUAGUAAAUCUAUUCUAUAUAAAUUUAAAAUUCAGUAACAGCUGUUAUAUUGGAGAAAAAGUGUAUGUAGUUAAGGAUUACAUACUAAAAUAGAUAGGUAUAGAUAGUCAGAUAGAUUAUAAUAGAUAGUUGGUUAUAAUACAGAUAUUAUUAGUCUGGCUACCGGAUACCCAUAUAUAUAUCAAAAUGACACAUUUGAAAAUCCAAUGCGUUUGACCAAUUGGCACCAAAUUUUACACACAUACUACGGGUAAGUGGUAACACCUAUUAAAUAUAAAAAGCAAAGUGUAUGACUGACGCUUAUAGAAUCAAAAUAAUAUUCUACAGACUUUUACGAUUCAAGGAAGGUUUGGAGAAUAGAUUGAACCAGUUAUUUUAGGGUGGCCUGCUAAUAUGAAAAUCAUAACGUCAUAUUUCAAUAUUUGUUUAUUUCUGCUCACAAUCAGUCAGCGUAAGAAAAAAAGUUACUUAUUAAUUUCUAGUUAUUAGUAAUACAGAUAAAUAAAGUAUAUAAUAUACUUAUAUAGAUAUAGAUUAAAUUAACCACGUUGGAAGUUAUGAAAUUGAUAGAACUAUCAAUAUUUAUAUAAGCUAAACAAAUUGUUUUAAUAUUAUAUAAAAAUUAAGCUGAGGCUUCAGCCCCUCUAAAAAAUUUAUCAAGCUCCGCCCAUGUCUAUACAAUAUUUUUUGUUCUUGUGCGUAGUGCGCAGAUACACGGAAAUUAUAGCAAAAUCGAUGACCAAGAACAACCUAACCAGUUACCUCACGGGCCAAAAUCGUUCACUUCUACAGUAGUUCUGUAUUUUCUUAUACCUAUUAUAUUUAUUUAUAUUAAACAUUAUAAUGUACUUGUAUUUUAUAAAAUCAAAGAACCAGUAUAAUUAUAUUUGCAUGUACUCAGCAGAAUCUUCGCGGAAAAUUGUUUAAUUGGUUUUCGCAGUGUACGAGCUCCACUGAACCAAACAGGUUACGAUAAACGGAGAGGAUCUAAAUAAUGUAUUUUUUAUCAUGUCGUAUAUAAUAUUAUUGUGGUGGUAGCAUAGCCUUCUCCCCCCCCCCCCCCGCAAAUACACAUCGCGCCAAGGUAACGUACAUACACUAACUCUGAACCAAUUAGAAGACGGUCCGAGUAAAGUUUUGAUGUAAAAACGUGUGCUCAGUGUACGCGAUAAUAAAAUACUUCAGUGUCGGUUAUUAGAACUGCCAACUUCAUAUUAUCACAUAUUAUAUUAUCUGAUGCAGUCUCCGAAACGACUUCCGAUCGAGGACAACUUGCCACGUGCCACCUAUAUCAAAGUUUGAUUUUGAUAGGUACAUUAUACUCCAGCCCAAGAGAUUCUUCGACCAAAAUCAUCAGAUUCCGCACACCCCUCACUCACAACUUAUUGGCCCACCGACAGCAGGUCACUGCCAGUCAUUGUGCAUGUGAAUGAUCAAUGUCAUUCCGUGAAGGUAUGCGAUACUUAAAAGUCGAUUUAGAGGACACAGGCAUUUGUUGUCUCUGUCUUACAAGUACAUAACAUAGCAAAUUGUAAUAGCAGAACACACGUAGCUCCAUAGGUUUAAAAAUUAGAAUGAAUUCAUCUCUUAUAAAAUUUAAAGGUAAGAAUAUUAUCUAGGCAAUAUCAUUAGCUUUUUAUUAUAUUUUAAUUUUAAAGCGAGUUAGGAGUA